GACGAACGCUGGCGGCGUGCCUAAUACAUGCAAGUCGAGCGGACGGAUGGGAGCUUGCUCCCAGACCGUCAGCGGCGGACGGGUGAGUAACACGUGGGCAACCUGCCUGUAAGACUGGGAUAACUCCGGGAAACCGGGGCUAAUACCGGAUAACUCUUUCCCUCCCAUGAGGGAAAGCUGAAAGAUGGCAUCUCGCUAUCACUUACAGAUGGGCCCGCGGCGCAUUAGCUAGUUGGUGAGGUAACGGCUCACCAAGGCGACGAUGCGUAGCCGACCUGAGAGGGUGAUCGGCCACACUGGGACUGAGACACGGCCCAGACUCCUACGGGAGGCAGCAGUAGGGAAUCUUCCGCAAUGGACGAAAGUCUGACGGAGCAACGCCGCGUGAGUGAUGAAGGUUUUCGGAUCGUAAAACUCUGUUGUCAGGGAAGAACAAGUACCGGAGUAACUGCCGGUACCUUGACGGUACCUGACCAGAAAGCCACGGCUAACUACGUG
rnacentral:rRNA from 1 species